UACAGAGGGUGCGAGCGUUGUCCGGAAUUACUGGGCGUAAAGGGCGCGUAGGCGGUUCGAUAAGUAGGAGGUGAAAUCUCACGGCUCAACCGGGAGGCUGCCUUCUAGACUGUCGGACUUGAGCACGGUAGAGGCAGAUGGAAUUCCCGGUGUAGCGGUGGAAUGCGUAGAGAUCGGGAAGAACACCAGUGGCGAAGGCGGUCUGCUGGGCCGUUGCUGACGCUGAGGCGCGACAGCGUGGGGAGCAAACAGGAUUAGAUACCCUGGUAGUCCACGCCGUAAACGAUGGGCACUAGGCGUCGGGGGGAGCGACCCUCCCGGUGCCGUAGCUAACGCUCUAAGUGCCCCGCCUGGGGAGUACGGCCGCAAGGCUGAA
rnacentral:rRNA from 1 species